GGCAUGAUGGUUUAGCGGUAUGAUUCUCGCUUUGGGUGUGAGAGGUCCCGGGUUCAAAUCCCGGUCGUGCCC
rnacentral:tRNA from 1 species